rnacentral:lncRNA from 13 species
AGUGCAAUGGCGCGAUCUCGGCUCACCGCAACCUCCGCCUCCUGGGUUCAGGCAAUUCUCCUGCCUCAGCCUCCCGAGUAGCUGGGGCUACAGGCACGCACCACCAUGCCCAGCUAAUUUUUUGUAUUUUUAGUAGAGACGGGGUUUCACCAUGUUGACCGGAAUGGUCUCGAUCUGUUGACCUCGUGAUCCACCCACCUCGGCCUCCCAAAGUGCUGGGAUUACAGGCUUGAGCCACCACGCCCGGCCUAAAUUGUCUUUAAAAACUCCAAUCCCAGGAGGCUCAGGAAGACUGACGAGCAAUAAUAAAACUCCAGUCUCCAUACAGCCAGCUAAGUCUGAAUUACUCUUUCUCCAUUGCCGUUCUCCUGUCUUGAUCAAUCGACUCUGUCUAGGCAGUCGGCAAGAUGAACCCAUUAGAUGAUUACAGCCCUCUAAUGAUUUUUUUUUUUAUGUAUAGGAAAAAAAUAUUGAGUACUUAAUAAAAAUUGCAGUCCAAGGCACGUGGUUUUGUUGGGUGUAGGACUGCUCCACCCAAUGAUUCGGAACCCAGGAUCCUUUCAACCACAGCAUACCCAUCCUCAGGGCCUCAUCUUCCUCUGCAUCCAGCACUAUAGGGGAAAGAGUGAAGAGGAAGGUCACACACAACGCUCAGAAGCCUUGGUGUCGCUUCUCACGUCCCAUUGCUGUGACUCCCUCACCAGGCAGCACACAUCCAACAGCAAAGGAGGCUGGAAAAUGCAGCUCAGCCCAGCACCGGGACACUGUCUCAUUUCCAUGCAAGGGGAUGAGGAAUUUCAAUGGCUGCCUGGUAGAUUCUAACACAGAAUAAGGUAGAAAAAAUGAUUAAAGAUCAACUGGGACUGCCAACUAAUUUCAGAGUUUCACAGACCUAUCCACGCAGUCAUGAGUCAUGACAAACUGGGGCGGGCCUCUGGACAAGAGCCACCUGCCCAGGUAAGACAAAGCCUGAGCAGCAGAGCAGAACAGCAGAAGCUGCAGGCAAGCUCACACCCCAGAGAAAAAAAGGGAGAAGCACUGUCAACAUCGACAUUCUCCAUUAAUUAUCAAUGCAGUAAUUUCAUAAAUCCUAGUGCAGAGAGGGGAAAGGGGGACAGAGGUCAGCGUGUUACACUAAUUAAGCUCUUCCCACACGGAAGGAAACAUCAGGGCGGGAAAAAACAGUUCUGCUCUAACAUCUUCUUUCAAGGACAAACCCAGUUUCUCCUAUUUCCAAGGCUUCCGGGAUGCCAGUUUGUAGAAGCUCUUCUGGAAACAGAUAUCGCUAUGGGGAUUCUCACCUCUCUAUUUAUUAAGAAAAAAAAAAGAAAGAGAGAAAUAAAGAAAAAAAAAGGAAUGAAGAAGAAGAAAGAGGAAGAAGAAGAGGGAGAGAGAACGGGAGUGUUGCUUUAUUGCCCAGGCUAGAAUGCAGUCUAAAAAUGGGUAUCGAAAACCUCUUUUAUGCCAAUAAUUGUGCUUAAUAAUGUCCAACCAAUAUUUCAAUUAAACCUGUGAGUAGGUGUGAUGUGGUACUGAUAAGAGUGUAUAUUUUGUGUAUUUAAAUUGGAGAGUUCUAUAAAUGUUUAUUAAGUUGACUUGUCCUGGAUCUGAUUUCAAGUCCUGGAUAUCCUUAUUAAUUUUCUGUCUUGUUGAUCUAUCUAAUAUUGAUGUUGAAGUCUCCCAGUAUUAAUGUGUGGGAGUCUAAGUCCCUUUAUAAGUCUUAUGUAUCCUGUAUUGGGUGCGUAUAUAUUUAGGAUUGUUAGCUCUUCUUGUUGCAUUGAUCCUUUUACCAUUAUGUCCUCUUUUGACCUUUGUUGCUUUAAAAUCUAUUUUAUCAGAGGUGAGAAUUGCAACUCCUGCUUUUUAUUUAUUUAUUUUUGCUCUCCAUUUGGUUGGUAAAUCUUUCUCCAUCCCUUUGUUUUGAGGCUUUAUGUAUCCUUGCAUGUAAGAUGGGUCUGGAUGAAACAUACCGAUGGGUUUUGGCUGCGUCUUUUGACCCCGUGCAUUCUCUUUUGCCAUAAGCUAGUGUCCGUUUGGUUUGUUAGUCAAAGAAUCCUUCUUUACAUUCGACAUGCAUCUCCUCCUUCAUGAUUGCUACAUGGGCACCCAAUCAUUCUGAUUCAGAAAAUGCCUUUGCAGAGACCUCCUCAAAGUGUUCAUGCCUUCAACAAGCCAUCCCCAAUGUGGGGAAAAAUAGUUCAAAUGCAGCUAAUAUAAAAAACAAAAUGUGCGCAAACACACCAACACACAUCCUCCAGCCAUCAGAGAACUCUCCCUGCCAAGGUCUGCAUCUGAUUGUUGAAGUCAUGAUUUGAAAAUACAAAUGACUACUUAUUUUAGAUAUAAAAUAAAUCUGCUCACCUUCCCUUCA